UGGCAGGGGAAGUGAUGAAAUCUUGGAGACGUUGCUCAAGCAACAGCUGCUCCCUACCACUCUUCACACUCUCAGGAUCUCUUCAUUAUCAACUCUGAAAUCUUUGGAUGGAAAGGGACUUGCACACCUUACUUUUCUUCGAAGUCUAUCUAUUACUGCGUGUAAAAGUUUGGAAUUCCUACCAGGAGAGGCCCUUCAACACCUCACUUCUCUUCAAGAGCUAUAUAUUUCCAGUUGUCCGAUUCUCCAGUUCCUGCCAGAAGAAGGUCUACCGCCAUCUCUUUCUUUUCUGUACAUCUCCAAUUGUUCUGGCCUGGAGAAAAGGUAUCAGAAUAAAAUGGGACAAGAUCAUUGGGACAACAUAUCUCACAUUCCUUGCAUCCGGAUAAAUGAUGAAGUCAUCAUAUGUUGAUAUGACCUCUCUCUCUCUCUCUCACAUAGAGACAAACAAACUCAGGUUAGACUUGAGAAACUUUCCCAUGUUUGGAGGUCAAAGCAACUUGUGUAGGCAACCAUUGUAUAUGGAUUUUUGUUUUUCUACAAACAAAUUGCAGCAAAUAAGGGGAAGGAAAUGUUCUCAAGGUGGAGCUCUAGCAAGAGACCACCAUUUGGACAAUGCGGUAAACAGAUCUCAAUCUAACAUAACAAGCAUCACUGCCCAUUCAUGAUUAGAGUGGGAGGAAUGAAGACCAGAAGGCCGGUGUCCAGAUUUUCCUCAUCUCAAGGACCUGACUUUAGACAAGAGUCUGAAGCUAAGAGGAAGCUUGCCUUCUCAUCUUACUUGCUUGAAAGACUGAGCUUGUCGUCCAGGUGUGGAGUUCUACAUGAUGAAAGGGCCAGUACUACUCGUAACAUGGAAUAAUGUCUUGAAGAAUUAGAAAUAUAUGAUGGAUGACGAGGUCUGUUCUUGUUACUAGAGGCAAAGUUCCUGUUUGUGCUCCUAUUUGAUACGAUGCCAUUUCCAAUUCAAAAAAUUUUCAGGUAUGUUAAGAAAGUAUUACACAACUAGACGUUUACGCCUUCUCAUCUGAUUUACUCAUUUGCCAUAGUGGGGAGGAAUGAUGACCAGAAGGCCCGUGUCCAGGCUUUCCUCAUCUCAAGGAGAUGACUUUAGACAAGUGUCUGAAGCUAAGAGGAAGAACGACCCUAUCAUCUUCCAACAAACUCAAGAACACUGCAUGCUAUGAUUUGUUGAAGUUGAAGAUUUCGAGAGAAUGAAAGCUGUAGCAGAAAACAUAGGGCUGAGAUCUCUCCAAGGUGAUUGUGGAGAGGUUUGCCAAUUGACCUUAGUGAAAUAGAAAAAGAAAAAGUUUGGUUUUUGAUAUUUGAAUGUAGGCACCUUUAUAUUCUUAGCACUAGACCGUUCCUCCGAACCAUCCCCACAAACAACCCCCAAAAAAUGAAAAGACCAAUCUCGUAGUUACCAUAAUAUGCCAUUCAUCAGAAAUUUGAGAAUUCACAGGGUCCCUUGAACUCACUUCUCUUCAACAGAUACAUAUUUAUGGCUGUCUGAGUCUCCAAUUCCUGCCACAAGACUUUCUUUUCUGAGCAUCUCCAGUUGUUCUGCCCUGGAGUAAAGGUAUGAGAAUAAUAGGGGAGAAGAUUGGGCUAAGAUAUCUCACAUUCCUUGCAUCUUCAUAGGCCAAGAAGUGAUCAUAUGAGGAUAUGAGCUCGUUAUCGAACAAAGUUUUUGCUUUUCGACAUUUCACUCUCAAGUCAAAGUCAGGCGCAUGCCAUCAAGAGCAUCUUGUUGAGCUGAGGUAUGCACGGGAAGUGAAAGCACUCAAGUAAACAUCCAUAUUAAAAAGCUAUUAGAGAAAGCAGGCUUUUCAAAAUUUGAUCUGUAACAGAGUGGGAGAAAUGAAAUGAAGAUAAGGCUUGUCUGUGUUCUUCUCUGCGCCUUUAACUUCUGAAGUACUCUUAAAUUACUUGCUCAAAAUGGAACAACAGCAAUAGUUCAUUAGCAUUUUCUUUUUCUGUAAAAAAGAAUCUUGCCUUGAAUUGCAAAUUUGAUCUUAUUGGUAUUAAACUUGA